AGGACUUCAAGCCAACGGCGGCGAGCAGUUCAGUUUUUAUUUUAUUUUAUUUUGUUCAUACUAGGGUUUUUUUAGUUGCAAUCAUCUAUUAUUUUUCUCAACCGUUGAGCACAAAGAGAUGAUGAUCGCACUAUUAUACUGUGGUAUAGAGCCAACUAUUUUAGCAGGAAAAAUUGAUCCCAUCCUUUUUGAGGCUCUAUUUGCUUCCCAGUAUGCUAUAUUCCUUUUUUGCUAGAAUUCCUCAGAUAUGGCAGAACUUUAAGA